rnacentral:rRNA from 1 species
AUUGAACGCUGGCGGCAUGCCUUACACAUGCAAGUCGAACGGUAACAGGUUAAGCUGACGAGUGGCGAACGGGUGAGUAAUGUAUCGGAACGUGCCCAGUCGUGGGGGAUAACUACUCGAAAGAGUGGCUAAUACCGCAUACGACCUGAGGGUGAAAGCGGGGGACCGUAAGGCCUCGCGCGAUUGGAGCGGCCGAUAUCAGAUUAGCUAGUUGGUGGGGUAAAAGCCCACCAAGGCGACGAUCUGUAGCUGGUCUGAGGGGACGCCCAGCCACACUGGGACUGAGACGCGGCCCAGACUCCUACGGGAGGCAGCAGUGGGGAAUUUUGGACAAUGGACGCAAGUCUGAUCCAGCCAUGCCGCGUGCGGGAAGAAGGCCUUCGGGUUGUAAACCGCUUUUGUCAGGGAAGAAACGAGUUUCUCUAAUACAGAGACUUAAUGACGGUACCUGAAGAAUAAGCACCGGCUAACUACGUGCCAGCCGCCGCGGUAAAAC